UACAUGGGGUGCAAACGUUGCUCGGAAUUACUGGGCGUAAAGGGCUCGUAGGCGGCCAACUAAGUCAGACGUGAAAUCCCUCGGCUUAACCGGGGAACUGCGUCUGAUACUGGAUGGCUUGAGUUUGGGAGAGGGAUGCGGAAUUCCAGGUGUAGCGGUGAAAUGCGUAGAUAUCUGGAGAAACACCGGUGGCGAAGGCGGCAUCCUGGACCGGCAUUGACGCUGAGGCGCGAAAGCUAGGGGAGCAAACGGG
rnacentral:rRNA from 1 species